UGAAGUAGCGGGCGAUUUUUUUCCUGCCACCGAAUACUUAACAUGGGAUAAUGGAAUAGGACCCUGACCUCCUAUUUUCAGUUGGUUUUGUUUACAGCGAGGUUAUAUCAGGGUAAUGAUUAAUAGGGAUAGUUGGGGGCAUUAAUAUUUAAUUGUCAGAGGUGAAAUUCUUGGAUUUAUGAAAGAUUAACUUCUGCGAAAGCGUUUGCCAAGGAUGUUUUCAUUAAUCAAGAACGAAAGUUAAGGGAUCAAAAACGAUCAGAUACCGUCGUAUUCUUAACCAUAAACGAUGCCGACCAGCGAUAAAGAGACGUUGAAUACAAAACACCGCUGUUAAUCCUUUCGGGGGUUAAUAGUUGGUGAAUGACUCCCCUAGCAGCUUGUGAGAAAGUCGCCAUGAUGCCCCCCCCGAGGAAAAA
rnacentral:rRNA from 1 species